rnacentral:lncRNA from 1 species
AUGAUAUCGAAAAAUUAUGAAAUUUAGUUUCUAAAAUACUUUCAAUAGUGUAGAUCAAAUCUAAUGGAGCCGAUCGUCGAUUUGGAAGCCGCAUCAUCAAAAACAACUUGGUAGCACGGAGCCCUCCGUGCUACCGAUAGUAUAGUAGCCAAGCAUUUGUGCUUGUAAAUUUUUUACCAUUAGAUCUACGCCUUUAAUCAUUUUUACCCGUUAGAUUAUACUAUUCAACCAAUCAACCAUCCACUCAACCCUAGGGGCCCCAUAUCAUCCAAACCGCACAUCCCUUAAUCCAAGGGCCGAAACUUACAAGCACCAAUGACUUGGUACUUUUAAAAGUAUAGGAGCUCAAUUCAUAUAUAUAUAUAUAUAUAUAUAUAUAGAAAGAGAGAGAGAGAGAGAGAGAGAGAGAGAGAGAGUCCGGAUACUAUACUUUUACGAGUAUUGGCUGCCUUAUAUUCAUAAGUUUUUGGCCCUUAGAUUAUUCCAUUGAUCAUUUUCACUCGUUAGAUCAUACUAUUCAACCAACUACGUACCAACUCAACCCUAGAAAACCACUAUCAUUCUAAGUGGGGACCACCAUCAUCCUAACCACACAUCCCAUCAAUCAACGGUUAAAAAUUUAUGAGUACAAAGGGGUCUAUACUCAUAAGAGUAUAGUAGGCCCAGCAUAUAUAUAUAUAGAGAGAGAGAGAGAGACAGAGACAGAGAGAGAGUGAGCUGGUAUGCUUCUGGAAGCACAGAACCUUCCGUGCUUCCAAGUCGUUUUCGAUGUUGGGACUUUCGAAUCGACGAUCGGCUCCGUUAAACUUGAUCUAGAGUAUUUAAAGUACUUAGAAAAUAAAUUUUGUGAUUUUUCGAUAUCAUUUGCCUAGUGAUCGAAUGGGCUCAAAAUCAAUAAUUUUAAUGACCUUGGUGAGCCAUUUGCAAGUUUAACGGUGUAGAAAUAUCCAAAUCACGUAAAAUGUUGAUAGAAAAUUCUUUAUACU